rnacentral:rRNA from 1 species
UCUAAGUAUAAGCAAUUAUACCGUGAAACUGCGAAUGGCUCAUUAAAUCAGUUAUCGUUUAUUUGAUAGUACCUUACUACUUGGAUAACCGUGGUAAUUCUAGAGCUAAUACAUGCUGAAAACCCCGACUUCGGAAGGGGUGUAUUUAUUAGAUAAAAAACCAAUGCCCUUCGGGGCUCCUUGGUGAUUCAUAAUAACUUCUCAGAUCGCAUGGCCUUGCGCCGGCGACGGUUCAUUCAAAUUUCUGCCCUAUCAACUUUCGAUGGUAAGGUAUUGGCUUACCAUGGUUUCAACGGGUAACGGGGAAUUAGGGUUCGAUUCCGGAGAGGGAGCCUGAGAAACGGCUACCACAUCCAAGGAAGGCAGCAGGCGCGCAAAUUACCCAAUCCCGACACGGGGAGGUAGUGACAAUAAAUACUGAUACAGGGCUCUUUUGGGUCUUGUAAUUGGAAUGAGUACAAUUUAAACCUCUUAACGAGGAACAAUUGGAGGGCAAGUCUGGUGCCAGCAGCCGCGGUAAUUCCAGCUCCAAUAGCGUAUAUUAAAGUUGUUGCAGUUAAAAAGCUCGUAGUUGAACCUUUGGCCUGGCUGGCAGGUCCGCCUCACCGCGUGCACUUGUCCGGCCGGGCCUUCUCUUCUGGAGAACCGCAUGCCCUUCACUGGGUGUGUUGGGGACCAGGACUUUUACUUUGAAAAAAUUAGAGUGUUCAAAGCAGGCCUUUGCUCGAAUACGUUAGCAUGGAAUAAUAGAAUAGGACGUGCGGUCCUAUUUUGUUGGUUUCUAGGACCGCCGUAAUGAUUAAUAGGGACAGUCGGGGGCAUCAGUAUUCAAUUGUCAGAGGUGAAAUUCUUGGAUUUAUUGAAGACUAACUACUGCGAAAGCAUUUGCCAAGGAUGUUUUCAUUAAUCAGUGAACGAAAGUUAGGGGAUCGAAGACGAUCAGAUACCGUCGUAGUCUUAACCAUAAACUAUGCCGACUAGGGAUCGGGCGGUGUUAUUAUUUUGACUCGCUCGGCACCUUACGAGAAAUCAAAGUGUUUGGGUUCUGGGGGG